CAGUAGCCGCGGGAAUACGAAGGGGGCUAGCGUUGUUCGGAAUUACUGGGCGUAAAGCGCACGUAGGCGGAUAUUUAAGUCAGGGGUGAAAUCCCGCAGCUCAACUGCGGAACUGCCUUUGAUACUGGGUAUCUUGAGUAUGGAAGAGGUUAGUGGAAUUGCGAGUGUAGAGGUGAAAUUCGUAGAUAUUCGCAGGAACACCAGUGGCGAGGGCGGCUAACUGGUCCAUAACUGACGCUGAGGUGCGAAAGCGUGGGGAGCAAACAGGAUUAGAUACCCCUGUAGUCCCUGUCUCUUAUAC
rnacentral:rRNA from 1 species